rnacentral:rRNA from 1 species
GACGAACGCUGGCGGCGUGCUUAACACAUGCAAGUCGAACGGAAAGGCCCUGCUUUUGUGGGGUUCUCGAGUGGCGAACGGGUGAGUAACACGUGAGUAACCUGCCCUUGACUUUGGGAUAACUUCAGGAAACUGGGGCUAAUACCGGAUAGGAGCUCCUGCUGCAUGUUGGUGGUUGGAAAGUUUCGGCGGUUGGGGAUGGACUCGCGGCUUAUCAGCUUGUUGGUGGGGUAGUUGCUUACCAAGGCUUUGACGGGUAGCCGGCCUGAGAGGGUGACCGGCCACAUGGGGACUGAGGUACGGACCAGAAUCCUACGGGAGGCAGCAGGGGGGAAUAUUGCACAAUGGGCGGAAGCCUGAGGCAGCAACGCUGGGUGCGGGAUGACGGGUUACGGGUUGUAAACCGCUUUCGAAUGUGACGAAGCGUGAGUGACGGUAAUGGGUAAAGAAGCAACGGCUAACUACGUG